AGCUAAAUAUACUUACUAGAAUGUAUGUAUUAAUUGAGAUGAAUUUAAUCGAGAUUCAAUGUCCGUGUUUACAGGAUAUGUAUGUAUUUUUUAUAUCUACAAUUUUAAAAUCAUGUAAAAUUAGUCAAGUGUAGUACGAUGUAUCGUAACAAAUUAAUUUUUUUAUGCAGAAACUUGUAAGCGAAGAUGAUCAGAUAUCACAUGUUAUUGUUGUUAUCGUAACCAAGGUAUAUUUGGUUUGUUUGGUCAAUAAGUUAACAUCACUGGUACUAAAGCGAUUUCUCUUUAUGUUUUCAUACAUUGUUUCUUCUACGUGAAACUUAUGGAUCCCAUGCUCAACAAGGCACAUUAAUUAUCCGCAUCUGAGUGGCACACUUCAAACUUUCAGCAAAGACAUCAUAAAAAUACUUGUGUUCACUAUUGACGCUAUAGUUCUGUAAACGGACACACUUAUCGUCUAUUGAGUUGAAUCAAUUUCAAAUAUGCCAGCUAUUGUGAUCAAGGAAUACAGCUGGCGUCAAACAGAUGACUCAGUAGUAGUUAGCACACCCCUUUUCGGUAACCCAAAGAAUGUGGAUUUAUUUACUUCAACCAACUAUAUAAAGGCCAGUUAUCCACCAUUCGUCCUGGAGCUCUUUCUCUGGGGUAACAUUCUGGAGCACGAAAGCAAAUGCAUUUUGGACAAAGAACAGGCGAACGUAGUCUUUACUUUAAAAAAAGCAGACUUAGGUUUGAUCUGGCCUAGUCUUCUAGAAGAUCUGGAUAAACAUGCUAAAAAAGAACGUAGGACACGGGCCUUGGAGCAAGCUCAAGUAAUGGCUGAAGAACGGGCCAAAGCUAGAAGUGAGAAAAGACACAAGCUACAGAAACAAGCAGUCAGAGCGCAAAUCAACUUAGACACAGCAACGUUAAACAAAAUAGACUUGCUACGUGACACAGAGCGUAAACAAGCAAUGAACGAUUUUGAAGAGUGGAGGUGUACAAUGCAGAAUCCAAUAUUGUCGAGUAUUGAAGGUGAAGUUCAAGAGAACAGGAAAGCUUAUAGGCCACCAUUGAAGUGGUUCAAAGAUGAAGCAGGCGAGCUUAAAUCUAGAGAAAUGACGCAAAAAGAAAUUCUUAAUCAAGGAUUGACUCUCAAAAUGGAAAAUAGUCCGGCUUUGAAACAACUGGAACAGGCAAGGGUAGAACUCAGUGAUAUGAAUGAUACUAGUUUAAAUGAAUCACGAAUUGAAGAAAUAAAGCACCAUGAAUCAAAUGUCGCACACUUUACUGGUGGAAGCAGCACAGCACUUCAGGAUGUCCAGAAAUCUAAUGAAUCCGAUUCAUCCAGUUCUUCUGAAGUUUCUGAGUCUGAUUGUACAACUGGAGAAACUUCUUCCUUUUCAACGACACAGUCAUUCAUCAAAGAGAUGAAUGAAAAGAGAUUAAAGAAAUUUUAUAGUGAAAGAGCCGAGAAAAGUCCGAAACCUGGAAAGCAGAUCAUAAGGAACGUAUUGACGCAAAAAAAUUUCAAGGCUAAUACAAUAUUUGAUGAACCUAAAAAGGCGAUCCCAUUACCAAGACAAAAUGGAAUAAUUAACGUCAAGUUUUCUGAACGCACAUUUCCAACUCCUGCUAGGGAAAGCCAUCAAGUAGAAGAGCAAGAGUGGCUGGAGAAACAGGCGGCAGCAAGACGACAAACCGGUUUCAUUCUGGAAGACUUGAGACCAGAAGAAUUGGAUCCUCAAUGGCUUAAGGAUAAGGGAGAGUAUGUUACCAUCAAUGUAUAUUCGAAAAUGAAGAGUCAACACUUAAACUUCAGUCAUUCAAUAAAAUCGAGUUCUUCAAAGCUGGAAAUUACUUGGGGGCAAUCAGCGCCUAUAGUCAUGGAAUAAAAUUAAGUCCUAAGAUGUCAUCUUUAUACUCAAAUAGAUCAGCAGCUCAUUAUGCUCUUGGUAAUUACUUCAGAUGCACUGAAGAUUGCUCUAAGAAUGCAAUUACAGGCCUUAGAAUUGAUGGUAC
rnacentral:misc_RNA from 1 species